rnacentral:rRNA from 1 species
UACGUAGGGUGCGAGCGUUGUCCGGAAUUAUUGGGCGUAAAGGGCUCGUAGGCGGUUUGUCACGUCGGGAGUGAAAACUCGGGGCUCAACCCCGAGCCUGCUUCCGAUACGGGCAGACUAGAGGUAUGCAGGGGAGAAUGGAAUUCCUGGUGUAGCGGUGAAAUGCGCAGAUAUCAGGAGGAACACCGGUGGCGAAGGCAGGUUCUCUGGGCAUUACCUGACGCUGAGGAGCGAAAGUGUGGGGAGCGAACAGG